UAACAGUACAUUUAAUCCGCGCUGCCCUCAAACCAAAGCACGCAGACUGUUUUUAUUUAUAGUCUGUUUUCAACUUGUCUAACAAGUUUCUUAUUUUCUAAUAACAGUUUCAAUUGAGGUGUGUUCCGCCUCAUUCAUUCACAUAAAAGUAGUAAUUUUUACUUUUGCGGACCAAUUCAUUUUUUAGACAUUUCUGACCCGGACAAAAUUCCCCAAAACACUUCUCAAUUGUUUGUGCAGUUCAAGUCUGCAGACAUUUGCUCAUCUGCCGUCCUGCAUACACGUGUCCAUAUUUUACGUCUGUUGCCUGCAUCGAUAAUAACUUACCAAUAAUAACUUUGGAAAUGUGUGCGUUUCUAUCAAACUACCCUGGCCUUAUGACUCCCAAGUGGCACCACGUCUCAGUGCUAGAGGCGUCACCACAGACACCCAUCUUCAAAUCCAGACUGCGUUUCUAUCAAACUCCAAGGCAUAGCGAUUGGUCUCUACUAUGUCUCCCACCUGCUCCUCUGUCAGAAAC